UGGGGAAUAUUGCACAAUGGAGGGAACUCUGAUGCAGCGACGCCGCGUGAGGGAAGAAGGUUUUCGGAUUGUAAACCUCUGUCUUCGGGGACGAUAAUGACGGUACCCGAGGAGGAAGCCACGGCUAACUACGUGCCAGCAGCCGCGGUAAUACGUAGGUGGCAAGCGUUGUCCGGAAUUACUGGGUGUAAAGGGAGCGCAGGUGGGAUGGAAAGUUGGAUGUUUAAUCUACGGGCUCAACUCGUAUCAGCAUUCAAAACUAUCAUUCUUGAGUGGAGUAGAGGCAGGCGGAAUUCCAGGUGUAGCGGUGGAAUGCGUAGAUAUCUGGAGGAACACCAGUGGCGAAGGCGGCCUGCUGGGCUCUAACUGACACUGAGGCUCGAAAGCGUGGGUAGCAAACAGGAUUAGAUACCC
rnacentral:rRNA from 1 species